AGGUUACUGUACACAUGCACCAACUGCCUGCUUCAGGUUUGGAUGGAGCUUCAUGGUUGUCUUUUGGAGAAAUGAGCAGUCAAGUUGUGUUUGAAAUUUGAUUUUUUUCAGGGGCAAAAGGAAGCCUCUGCAUUCUUGUCAAAUAUGUAAAUAGCAUGUUUUUGCAGGUGCUAAAAAACAGACUCUGAGUGUGUGUGUGUGUGUGUGUGUGUGUGUGUGUGUGUGUGUGUGUGUGUGUGUGUGUGUGUGUGUGUGUGUGUGUGUGUGUGUAUCCUGCAGUACUCUGAGAAGAAUAAUAAGCAUAUUUCUGAGGUGAAUUUUGAAGAUUCAUCUGAGAGUUAGGUUUGAUUCGAUUCGAUUGACGCUCCCCAGCGUUCAAGUCACAUGACAUAUUUAACCGGAUGUAGCUGCAAGACGGAGCCUCGUUAACUCUCCGUUUCAACUUAUCUCAAAAGUGAGGACCUCAACCUAUAUACCAGUUUUUAAAUUGCGUUGAUAGGCCAAAUAAAACCAGAGUUAUGAUAAAUUAUGUCCGCGAUACUUUUUUUCUGCUUAUUUUGAUCACGUUCGGCGCUCGAUCGCGCUGUAUGAGACAGGAAAACAUAGCAUGCACACAUUAGCGACAGGUCUUACAGGCGGAAAAGGCUUGCCAAAAGAAAAAAAAAACACACCACAACAUCUCUCCUAUUGGUGGAAAACUUCACCACAACAACCAAUCCAAAAUUAUAUGGUGACUGAUUGACAAGGGGCGGGCGCUUACGUUCUUCCUGCAAUAUGAGAAGGGAGGGAGGGACUCUCAGCAGGGAUGCAGUCUGGGACACGUAGUUGCAAACCUAGCGACUUUGUUGUUAGAUUCAAUGACUUUUCAGACCCCCUAACGACUUUUUUUUAGAAAGAAAGGGACUUUUAUCGACUUCUUCUGGAGUUUAGAGACUCUGACAUGAAGCAGGCUUUCCUUACUGAGGAGUUAGCAACGCUGCUAAGGGUGCAGAGCCACACAUGCGCUCCGAGCUCUGCAUGGGAGACUGAAGCUGACAGAGCUGCAGCAGUUAGCAGGUUUCACCCUCAGAGACCACCAGGGGUUCAUGUUGAGGCAUUUUCAGUUUUUGUUUUUUUUUGCCAUAGAUUGUCAGCACAAUCUGCAGUUACACUAACAAAAAUGCUGCAAAAAACAAAGAAUUAUGGAAAAAUUACACAUGGACUGACAUAGAGGAGGAUCUACACAAGUUUUUUACAUCAUGUUUUACAUCAUGCAUCAUUUACAUCAUGUUUUUUUGUAGUGGCAUAAAUAAAAAGUGACAUUUGUGAGACUAUACAGUGUUUUGUAAAUAAUUUUACAAAGAACGCCUGGGCCAUUGCCUGCAUUUUGAUGUAAAUAGAGGUAAAUUACUAUGUUCUUUGUUAAAAAUUUGCAUAUGUUUUGAAGUUUACAAUUUUUAUUUGAAGUUUAAGUUUUAAAAACAGUUCAUCACACAUAUUUGUGGUUUAAUUUCACAUUAAUUUCCAUAUUGUAUAAAUGACUUGAGCCCCUGCCCCUGUAUAAUCAUGUGCACGUCCCUGUUCUAGCUCCAAGGUGAAUCUUCACUGCUCAUGUUCUCCUCAGAAAUAGUCACCUCACUCCCCUCAGGUUACUGUACACAUGCACCAACUAUCUGCUUCAGGUUUGGAUGGAGCUUCAUGGUUGUCUUUUGGAGAAAUGAACAGUCAAGUUGUGUUUGAAAUCUGAUUUUUUUCAGGGGCAAAAGGAAGCCUCUGCAUUCUUGUCAAAUAUGUAAACAGCAUGUUUUUGCAGGUGCUAAAAAACAGACUCUGAGUGUGUGUGUGUGUGUGUCUGUGUGUGUGUGUGUGUGUAUAUGUGUGUGUAUCCUGCAGUACUCUGUACUCCUGCAGUGGCCAAAAAGACUUUUAAGAAUGUGGAUUUUUGGGUCAUCUUUGGCGCCCCCUAGAACUGCAGUACUCUGUACUCCUGCAGUGGCCAAAAUGACUUUUAAGAAUGUGGAUUUUUGGGUCAUCUUUGGCGCCCCCUAGAACGUAAACCGUGGGGUGCAGCGUCAUGAUUUUUACAACUUUGAAUGGCCAUGGGGUGUAGAUUGCCCUGAGCAAAUUUGGUAUCGGUGGGACGAAAGCCUUAGGAGAAGAUAGCCACAUUCCAAUGUGUGCGAAUCCGCAAAAAAUGCGAAAUAGCCCUUUAACCGUACAUUAUACAGAUACGCGCUUUUUGACUUUUUCGUAGAUCUAAUUGAGAUACACAUGAUUGUCAAUUUUUGUGUCAAUAUGACAAAGCGUUCAGGCGUGACACUCAACAAUGUGUAUUUUCAUGUAAGGGGACAAGAAAAAAUUGACUUUUUUCUCCUGCCAUGGGGGGGCGCUCUUUUGGGGAGUAAAAAUUCCUUCACAAAUGUGUUGAUGGCUGGACAUUGCAUCAUCCUAGAAAACUUGGAGGGCAGUGAGGACAAAAAUAAAAAGUUAUAAGACUUUUAAGAAUGUGGAUUUUGGGUUAUCUUUGGCGCCCCCUAGAACGUAAACCGUGGGGUGCAGCGUCAUGAUUUGUACAACUUUUAAUGGCCAUGGGGGGUAGAUUGGCCUGCGCAAAUGUGGUGCCGGUCGAACGAAAGCCUUCGGAGGAGUUAGCGAAAUUCCAAUGUGUGCAGAUCUGCAAAAAAUGCAAAAUAACCCAUUAACCGUACAUUUGACAGAUACGCCCGCACUGACUUUUUUGUAGAUCUUAUUGAGAUACAUGUGUGUGUCAAUUUUUGUGUCAAUAUGACAAAGCGUACAGCCGUCAUGUGAAUUUUCACCUUAGGGGGCGCUAUGGAGCCAUUUUGCAUUUUAUUGUUUGGGCGACUUCAGAAUAUCGAAUUUUUCACCAGGCCCGGUCGUCCUGCCAAAUUUCCUGAGUUUUCGCCAGUGGGAAGUGGGCCAUUUUCCAGUUUAAAGCGGAGGAAAAAUAAUAACGAAAGAAGGAAACAUGCAGGAACAAGAGGGCUCUCGCAGCUGCUUAGCAGCUACGCUCGGGCCCUAACUAGGACCCCGUUGGGGCACUGGCGGGCCCGAGCUGUGUCGCGUCCCCCCCCCAACGCGCUGCCUCCCCGUCCCAUUUGUGUCCUCUGGCCAUCGCCCUCUUUGGUAACGCCCAUCACUGCAAAGACCCUUUUCCUUCAUCGGCGUUUGCUGUUCUUCCUGCCAGUGCGUGUUGCUUUCACUUACACUUGCCACAGCCAGCCUCGUGAGUGCCUAGCCUAUUGGAUAUCACUGUCACCUACACAGGACAGUCAUUACCUUUCUAUUAAUACUUUGUUUUUUAAUUUCACAUUAAUUUCCAAAUUGUAUAAACGACUGGAAAAAACUUGAGCCCCUGCCCCUGUAUAAUCAUGUGCACGUCUCUGUUCUAGCUCUAAGGUAAAUCUUCACUGCUCAUGUUCUCCUCAGAAGCAGUCACCUCACUCCCCUCAGGUUACUGUACACAUGCACCAACUGCCUGCUUCAGGUUUGGAUGGAGCUUCAUGGUUGUCUUUUAGAGAAAUGACCAGUCAAGUUGUGUUUGAAAUUUGAUUUUUUUCAGGGGCAAAAGGAGCCUCUGCAUUCUUGUCAAAUAUGUAAAUAGCAUGUUUUUGCAGGUGCUACAAACCAGACUCUGAGUGUGUGUGUGUGCGUGUGUGUGUGUGUCUGUGUGUGUGUGUGUGUGUGCGUUCAAGUCACAUGACAUAUUUAACCGGAUGUAGCUGCAAGACGGAGCCUCGUUGACUCUCCGUUUCAACUUAUCUCAAAAGUGAGGACCUCAACCUAUAUACCAGUUUUUAAAUUGUGUUGAUAGGCCAAAUAAAACCAGAGUUAUGAUAAAUUAUGUCCGCGAUACUUGUUUUCUGCUUAUUUUGAUCACGUUCGGCGCUCGAUCGCGCUGUAUGAGACAGGAAAACAUAGCAUGCAGACAUUAGCGACAGGUCUUACAGGCGGAAAAGGCUUGCCAAAGAAAAAAAAAUACACACCACAACAUCUCUCCUAUUGGUGGAAAACUUCACCACAACAACCAAUCCAAAAUUAUAUGGUGACUGAUUGACAAGGGGCGGGAACUUACGUUCUUCCUGCAAUAUGAGAAGGGAGGGAGGGACUCUCAGCAGGGAUGCAGUCUGGGACACGUAGUUGCAAACCUAGCGACUUUGUUGUUAGAUUCAAUGACUUUUCAGACCCCCUAACGACUUUUUUUUAGAAAGAAAGUGACUUUUAUCGACUUCUUCUGGAGUUUAGAGACUCUGACAUGAAGCAGGCUUUCCUUACUGAGGAGUUAGCAACGCUGCUAAGGGUGCAGAGCCACACAUGGGCUCCGAGCUCUGCAUGGGAGACUGAAGCUGACAGAGCUGCAGCAGUUAGCAGGUUUCACCCUCAGAGACCACCAGGGGUUCAUGUUGAGGCAUUUUCAGUUUUUUUUUUUUUUUUUGCCAUAGACACUGUCAGCACAAUCUGCAGUUACACUAACAAAAAUGCUGCAAAAAACAAAGAAUUAUGGAAAAAUUACACAUGGACUAACAUAGAGGAGGAUCUACACAAGUUUUUUACAUCAUGUUUUACAUCAUGCAUCAUUUACAUCAUGUUUUUUUGUAGUGGCAUAAAUAAAAAGUGACAUUUGUGAGACUAUACAGUGUUUUGUAAAUAAUUUUACAAAGAACACCUGGGCCAUUGCCUGCAUUUUGAUGUCAAUAGAGGUAAAUUACUAUGUUCUUUGUUAAAAAUUUGCAUAUGUUUUGAAGUUUACAAUUUUUAUUUGAAGUUUAAGUUUUAAAAACAGUUCAUCACACAUAUUUGUGGUUUUCACAGUAAAAACGUUACUUUUUUCCACUCGGAUUUUAUGUUUUGUGUGUGAAUUUGGGUCCAAUGUGUAAAUAUAGUAUGUCAAAAUGAUAAAAUAACUGUAAAUUGACACAGGUGAGGUUGUGCUGAAAAAAAUGAUACCAGGCAAGGCAAGGUAAAAAUUUUGUAAGAGGAAAUAUAAAGGUAAAAUCUAAAGUAGUCAAAAACGGCCAAUAGUGACUCACAGACUCCACAGACAAGUCCCUUUGGCGCCACUCAGUGGGCAAAACUACUUUGUCUACUGUAAUGUAUAUUUGGGUCAUCUUUGGCGCCCCCUAAAACGUAAACCGUGGGGUGCAGCGUCAUGAUUUUUACAACUUUGAAUGGCCAUGGAGUGUAGAUUGGCCUGAGCAAAUUUGGUGUCAGUGGGACGAAAGCCUUAGGAGGAGUUAGCGAAAUUCCAAUGUGUGCGAAUCGGCAAAAAAUGCAAAAUAGCCCUUUUACCGUACAUUAUACAGAUACGCGCUCUUUGACUUUUUCGUAGAUCUAAUUGAGAUACACAUGAUUGUCAAUUUUUGUGUCAUUUUGCCAAAGCGUACAGGCGUGACAGUCAACAAUGUGUAUUUUCACCUUAGGGGACAAGAAAAAAUGGACUUUUUUCUCCUGCCAUGGGGGGGCGCUCUUUUAGGGAGUAAAAAUUCCUUCACAAAUGUGUUGAUGGCUGGACAUUGCAUCAUCCUAGAAAACUUGGAGGCCAGUGAGGACAAAAAUAAAAAGUUAUAAGACUUUUAAAAAUGUGGAUUUUUGGGUUAUCUUUGGCGCCCCCUAGAACGUAAACCGUGGGGUGCAGCGUCAUGAUUUGAAUAACUUUUAAUGGCCAUGGGGUGUAGAUUGGCCUGAGCAAAUGUGGUGCCGGUGGAACGAAAGCCUUCGGAGGAGUUAGCGAAAUUCCAAUGUGUGCGGAUCGGCAAAAAAUGCGGAAUAGCCCUUUAACCAUACAUUUGACAGAUACGCCCGCACUGACUUUUUUGUAGAUCUUAUUGAGAUACAUAUGUGUGUCAAUUUUUGUGUCAUUUUGACAAAGCGUAAAGGCGUGACAGUCAAUAGUGUGAAUUUUCACCUUAGGGGGCGUGCUAUGGAGCCAUUUUGCAUUUUCUUGUUUGGGCGACUUCGGAAUAUCAAAUUUUUCACCAGGCCCGGUCAUCUUGCCAAAUUUCAUGAGUUUUCGCCAGUGGGAAGUGGGCCAUUUUCCAGUUCAAAGGGGAGGAAAAAGAAGAAAGAAAGAAACAAAGAAAAACCACUUGGGGAAUAAUAGGGCUCUCGCAGCUGCUUAGCAGCUACGCUCGGGCCCUAAUAACAAAAGAAGGAAACUACAGGAACAAGAGGGCUCUCGCAGCUGCUUAGCAGCUACGCUCGGGCCCUAACUAGGGCCCCGUUGGGGCACUGGCGGGCCCGAGCUGUGUCGCCCCCCCCCCCCCCCCCCCCAACGCGCUGCCUCCCCGUCCCAUUCGCGUCCUCUGGCCAUCGUCCUCUCUGGUAACGCCCAUCACUGCAAAGACCCUUUUCCUUCAUCGGCGUUUGCUGUUCUUCCUGCCAGUGCGUGUUGCUUUCACUUACACUUGCCACAGCCAGCCUUGUGAGUGCCUAGCCUAUUGGAUAUCACUGUCACCUACACAGGACAGUCAUUACCUUUCUAUUAAUACUUUGUUUUUUAAUUUCACAUUAAUUUCCAUAUUGUAUAAACGACUGGAAAAAACUUGAGCCCCUGCCCCCGUAUAAUCAUGUGCACGUCCCUGUUCUCGCUCCAAGGUGAAUCUUCACUGCUCAUGUUCUCCUCAUAAGCAGUCACCUCACUCCCCUCAGGUUACUGUACACAUGCACCAACUGCCUGCUUCAGGUUUGGAUGGAGCUUCAUGGUUGUCUUUUGGAGAAAUGAGCAGUCAAGUUGUGUUAGAAAUUUGAUUUUUUUCAGGGGCAAAAGGAAGCCUCUGCAUUGUUGUCAAAUAUGUAAAUAGCAUGUUUUUGCAGGUGCUAAAAAACAGACUCUGAGGUGUGUGUGUGUGUGUGUGUGUGUGUGUGUGUGUGUGUGUCUGUGUGUGUGUGUGUCUGUGUGUGUGUAUCCUGCAGUACUCUGUACUCCUGCAGUGGCCAAAACGACUUUUAAGAAUGUGGAUAUUUGGGUCAUCUUUGGCGCCCCCUAGAACGUAAACCAUGGGGUGCAGCGGCAUGAUUUUUACAACUUUGAAUGGCCAUGGGGUGUAGAUUGGCCUGAGCAAAUUUGGUGUCAGUGGGACGAAAGCCUUAGGAGGAGUUAGCCACAUUCCAAUGUGUGCGAAUCGGCAAAAAAUGCAAAAUAGCCCUUUAGCCGUACAUUUUAC
rnacentral:lncRNA from 1 species